AUCCAGACUCCUACGGGAGGCAGCAGUAGGGAAUUUUGCGCAAUGGGGGAAACCCUGACGCAGCAACACCGCGUGAAUGUUAAGCCCUUCGGGGUGUAAAGUUCUGUCAAUAGGGACGAAUUUUGACUGUACCUAUAAAGGAAGCACCGGCUAACUCCGUGCCAGCAGCCGCGGUAAUACGGGGGGUGCGAGCGUUAUCCGGAUUUAUUGGGUUUAAAGGGUGCGUAGGCGGACGCUUAAGUCAGCGGUAAAAUUGCGGGGCUCAACCUCGUCGAGCCGUUGAAACUGGGUGCCUUGAGUGGGCGAGAAGUACGCGGAAUGCGUGGUGUAGCGGUGAAAUGCAUAGAUAUCACGCAGAACUCCGAUUGCGAAGGCAGCGUACCGGCGCCCAACUGACGCUGAAGCACGAAGGCGGGGGUAUCGAACAGGAUUGAUACCCUAGUA
rnacentral:rRNA from 1 species